UACGGGGGGGGCAAGCGUUGUUCGGAAUUACUGGGCGUAAAGGGCUCGUAGGCGGCCAACUAAGUCAAACGUGAAAUCCCUCGGCUUAACCGGGGAACUGCGCUUGAUACUGGAUGGCUUGAGAUUGGGAGAGGGAUGCGGAAUUCCAGGUGUAGCGGUGAAAUGCGCAGAUAUCAGGAGGAACACCAACGGCGAAGGCAGCUCUCUGGGACGUUACUGACGCUGAGACGCGAAAGCGUGGGGAGCAAACAGG
rnacentral:rRNA from 1 species